rnacentral:lncRNA from 1 species
GAGAAACCAAAUGCGAAGGAGGGAGGAGGAAAAAACCGGGAGAAACACUCCCCUCCCUCCCUCUCUUCUCCCCUUCCUCCCCCCACCUGACCAGCGACAGAUCUCUCCACCUGCGGUUGCCUCCGCUCCCCGGCCCUCUCAGAUCCCGAUCUCCCAUGCCUCCGCCUCCCCUCCCCUAGCCCCCCCGCACGCGCAGCGAUGGCCUCGCGCCCGCCCCUCCGCACC